rnacentral:tRNA from 1 species
GCCCGGGUGGAGAAACGGGAGACUCGCAUCACUUAAAAUGAUGUGCUCAAAAGGCGUGUGGGUUCGAUUCCCACCCCGGGCACCA